rnacentral:rRNA from 1 species
CAUGGCUCAGGACGAACGCUGGCGGCGUGCUUAACACAUGCAAGUCGAACGCUGAAGCCCAGCUUGCUGGGUGGAUGAGUGGCGAACGGGUGAGUAACACGUGAGUAACCUGCCCCCUUCUUUGGGAUAACGCCCGGAAACGGGUGCUAAUACUGGAUAUUCACUGGCCUUCGCAUGGGGGUUGGUGGAAAGGUUUUUUCUGGUGGGGGAUGGGCUCGCGGCCUAUCAGCUUGUUGGUGGGGUGAUGGCCUACCAAGGCUUUGACGGGUAGCCGGCCUGAGAGGGUGACCGGUCACAUUGGGACUGAGAUACGGCCCAGACUCCUACGG